rnacentral:lncRNA from 1 species
AAAAUUUGAAAUAGAUGAUAACUUCACUCCCCCUAAUUUUUUUCCUACCAUUUCCCUCUUUCCCUUUUUUUCCCGCUUUCCCUCUUUCCAUUUUUUCCUUAAUUUCCUCCCGCGCUUCGUCCUCCCGCUCACUCCAUUUUUCCUCCAUCUCUACUUUCUCUCUCUCUUCCUUCAUCCUUAGUCCAUUCUCCGGCGAACUCGUGUCGUGCGGCCAUCAGCACGGUCUCUUCCUCGGCACGAUCUCUUCCUUCACUUAUUUUUUUCAAUUUCGGCU